UCAGCGCUGUCUUCAUCUUUGAGACGUCUCAUUUGUGAAUGUGAGAGCAGGAAGAGAGACAGAGAAGCACGAUGGCUGAAUUCAGAUGGAUUCAAAUGCUUUCAUUCCUGAUCCUGAUGCUUCAGUUUAAAGGUAGCGCCUGUAUCACGGCUGCAUGACCUCAGACACCUGUCUCCUUCUGUGUUUUCUUGUUUGUAUUUCUUGGAUGGAUGUUCAGGAACGUAAUCUCAGUGUAUGUCUUGAUGUAUAACGACAAUAAACUCUUCUUGAUCUUGAUCUGUCUGUCAUCAACAGCCCCAGGAAUGGUGCCACCAUAAAAAAAUGAAAUCCCUGCAAAUACAGGUGCACAAAGAUGAAGAUGAAGGUACAGUGACCUAUGAAAACUCUGCAGACCCUUCUGCUUCUGUCAGACUCCACUGAUCAUCAACAUCAACUCAGCACAGAAACGACAUCACUGCUGUUAAAGAUCAUCUCAGCACAUUUCAUAUGAGGAGAAA